rnacentral:rRNA from 1 species
AUGAACUUAAGCUGGGUGAGGUGCUUUGGCGACUUAGCUUUGGUGGCUCAGCAGGUCUUAGGAACUUGCGAUUCUAAAGACCCGCUCAUGGCGGCUUAUCGCCGGGCGGUUGACAGUAUUGCUGGCCAUUUCAAAGUUUAUCAAGUGGAGCAUGUUGAUGCUUUAAGCCGGUUGGGGUCUCAGCGUAAGCCGGUGCCACCCAAUGUUUUUCUUGACAUAUUACACAACCCUUCAGUUAAGCUGCCGACAGAAGAGGAUCUUGCAAUUCCUGACCCGAAGGCACAGUUGGUGGCAGCUCUGCAUGCUAUUCCUGAUUGGUCAGCUCCUUAUUUGGCUUAUAUGACCCGGGGAGAGUUGCCUGAGGAUGAAACUUUGGCCAGACAAAUAAUCCGGAGGUCUAAGUCAAUGACUAUUGUCAAUGGCGAGUUGCACCGAUGCAGUGUUACAGGUGUGUUCCAGCGCUGUGUUUCCCCUGAAGAAGGCCAUGAGAUUCUAAGAGAGAUUCAUGAAGGAGAUUGUGGCCAUCACGCCGGCUCUAAGUCUCUCAUGGCUAAGGCUUUUCGUAAUGGGUUUUAUUGGCUGACGGCUCAUGCUGAUGCAGAAGAUCUGGUUAGCAAGUGCGACGACUGUCAGAAAUUUUCCAGAUGGGCUCAUGUGUCGGCUCAGAAAUUGAGGAUGAUUCCAAUCACUUGGAUGUUUGCCGUUUGGGGGCUGGAUAUGAUUGGACCCACCUUUUGGUGGCAGUUGAUAAGUUCACAAAGUGCGUUGAGGUAG